rnacentral:rRNA from 1 species
GCACGCUGCGUUCCUCAGUCCCCCAGGGCGAAUCCAAUAAAGAGCUAUAACACAGCCGAAACUGCUACCUUCUCUCUAUGCUUUUCCGCCCCGAAAAACUGAUGCGGGCCUGCCAAUCGAGUUGCCCCGAAUAGCAAGUAUCACUGCAUGUGUUUCCCUUCCAACAAUUUCACGUACUGUUAACUCUCUUUCCAAAGUGCUUUUCAUCUUUCCCUCACGGUACUUGUUCGCUAUCGGUCUCUCGCCAAUAUUUAGCUUUAGAUGGAAUUUACCACCCAAUUUGAGCUGCAUUCCCAAACAACUCGACUCUUCGAAAGUGUAUCACAAAGUAAUAGGCAUCCGCAUCGUGUACUGGGUUCUCACCACUAUGACGCUCUGUUCCAAGAGACUUGUAUGCGGUCUAUCACGGAAAACACUUCUCGAGAUUACAACUCGGACGUCGAAGACGCCAGAUUACAAAUUUGAGCUUUUCCCGCUUCGCUCGCCGCUACUAG